CCUACGGGGGGCUGCAGUGAGGAAUCUUGCGCAAUGGGGGCAACCCUGACGCAGCGACACAGUGUGGAGGAGGAAGGUCUUCGGAUUGUAAACUCCUUUUAUGAGGGAAGAAUAGAUGACGGUACCUCAUGAAUAAGCACCUGCUAACUACGUGCCAGAAGCAUCGGUGAUGCGUAGGGUGCGAACGUUAUCCGGAUUUAUUGGGCGUAUAGAGAAGCGUAGGUGUUUUUGUAAGUCUUUAGUUAAAUACCACGGCUCAACCGUGGGGAAGCUUCGGAAACUACAGAAAUUGAGACAGGAAUGGGCGAAUGGAAUUCCCAGUGGAGCGGUGAAAUGCGUUGAUAUUGGGAGGAACAUCAGUGGCGAAGGCGAUUCGCUGGUCCUUGUCUGACACUAAGGCUCGAAAGCGUGGGGAGCGAACCGGAUUAGAUACCCUGGUAGUC
rnacentral:rRNA from 1 species